GACGAACGCUGGCGGCGUGCUUAACACAUGCAAGUCGUACGGUAAGGCCCUUUCGGGGGCGCGCGCGUGGCGAACGGGCGAGUAAGAAGUGAGUAAGUUGCCCACCCCUUUGGGAUAACGAUCGGAAACUGGUGGGAGUUCUUGAUAUGUACUACUGCCGCAUGGAGGGGGUUGGUUAGAUCCGGCGGUUGUGGAUGGACUCGCGGCCUAUCAGCUUGUUGGUGGGGUAGUGGCUUACCAAGGCGGGGACGGGUAGCCGGCCUGAGAGGGUGACCGGCCACAUUGGGACUGAGAUACGGCCCAGACUCCUACGGGAGGCAGCAGUGGGGAAUAUUGCACAAUGGGCGCAAGCCUGAUGCAGCAACGCCGCGUGCGGGAUGACGGCCUUCGGGUUGUAAACCGCUUUCAGCAGGGACGAAGCGUUAUGGGACGGAACCUGCAGAAGAAGCACCGGCAAACUCCGU
rnacentral:rRNA from 1 species